GAUUAGCCCAAACCAAUAAAGUUUUCUUUAUUGGGGUUGCGGACAUAUCAUAACGGAGAGGUAUCGUAAUUGAAGAGGUUUGGAAAGACCCACCACAGAAGGUAAUAGUCCUGUAUGUUAAACGAGAAGACUUUAGAUAUGAUCCAGAGUACCACGGGACACGUGAAACCCUGUGGGAAGCAGGAGGGACCACCCUCCAAGGCUAAAUACUACCUAGUGACCGAUAGCGUAUAGUACCGUGAGGGAAAGGUGAAAAGAACCCCGGGAGGGGAGUGAAAUAGAACCUGAAACCCUGCACUUACAAGCUGUGGAAGCACAUUUCUUGUGUGACCGCGUACUUUUUGUAGAACGGGCCAACGAGUUACGUUAAGUAGCAAGGUUAAGCACUUAAGGUGUGGAGCCGUAGCGAAAGCGAGUUUUAACUGAGCGUUCAGUUACUUGACGUAGACCCGAAACCGGGCGACCUACCCAUGAGCAGGAUGAAGCGAAAGUAAAAUUUCGUGGAGGUCCGAACCCACGAGCGUUGAAAAGCUCGGGGAUGACUUGUGGGUAGCGGUGAAAUUCCAAUCGAGCCCGGAGAUAGCUGGUUCUCCCCGAAAUAGCUUUAGGGCUAGCCUCAAGGUGAGAGAUACGGAGGUAGAGCACUGAAUGUCCUAGGGGGUAUUGCACCUACCGAAGACUAUCAAACUCCGAAUGCCGUCAUCUUAUACUUGGGAGUCAGACUGUGGGUGAUAAGAUUCAUAGUCGAAAGGGCAACAGCCCAGAUCGUCAGCUAAGGUCCCUAAAUGUAAGUUAAGUGGUAAAGGAUGUGGGAUUGCACAGACAACCAGGAUGUUGGCUUAGAAGCAGCCACUCAUUCAAAGAGUGCGUAAUAGCUCACUGGUCGAGUGAUCCUGCGCCGAAGAUUUCCGGGGCUAAAACUUACUACCGAAGCUACGGCAUCAGUAAUGAUGGGUAGGGGAGCUUCCCAUACGGGUUGAAGCAUGACCGUAAGGACAUGUGGACAGUAUGGGAGUGAGAAUGUUGGCAUGAGUAGCGAGAUGUGGGUGAGAAUCCCACAGGCCGUAAACCCAAGGUUUCCAGGGGAAGGUUCGUCCGCCCUGGGUUAGUCGGGACCUAAGCUGAGGCCGAAAGGCGUAGGUGAUGGACAACAGGUUGAUAUUCCUGUAC
rnacentral:rRNA from 1 species